CCAGUGUGGACACCCUAGGAAGUCACCCUCCCCGGGCUCUGUCCAAGUGACGUAGGAGAGCACAGGGCGCUACUGCGUAAUGGACAGUCUCCUUCUCCAGCGCUGGAGAUGAAGCCGGGCUUUGUGUCUGCACCUGCGUAGUCCUCCAACUUCUCUGAGUCCACUGGACAGUGACUGAGAAGAUCAGCUGUGCUGGAAACAGUG
rnacentral:snoRNA from 1 species